GUACAACCGCACAAAAAAGGUUAAAGUGAAUUUUUCCACCUUAUUGGCGAGUCUAAA
rnacentral:sRNA from 1 species